AGCAGCCGCGGUAAUUCCAGCUCCAAUAGCGUAUAUUAAAGUUGUUGCAGUUAAAAAGCUCGUAGUUGAAUUUCGAGACCAGUAUGUCGGUCGUGCCUCGGUACGUACUUGCAUUAUUGGUUUCUCCCUUCUGACGAACCUCGAUGCCAUUAAUUUGGUGUCGUGGGGAAUCAGGACUGUUACUUUGAAAAAAUUAGAGUGUUUAAAGCAGGCACACGCUUGAAUACAUUAGCAUGGAAUAAUGAAAUAGGACGUUUGAUUCUAUUUUGUUGGUUUCUAGGAUCGGCGUAAUGAUUAAUAGGGAUAGUUGGGGGCAUUAGUAUUCAAUUGUCAGAGGUGAAAUUCUUGGAUUUAUUGAAGACUAACUACUGCGAAAGCAUUUGCCAAGGAUGUUUUCAUUAAUCAAGAACGAAAGUUAGGGGAUCGAAGACGAUCAGAUACCGUCGUAGU
rnacentral:rRNA from 1 species